AGGGAUUAAAGAAAAAAAAAAGGCAGGUAUCAGCAUAAACAACUUGUAGCUGUGUAAUUUAAGAUCACCUUUUCUGUGUGUAAACAUGUCAAUCUUAGCAGCCUAUGUAGGAACAUGGAAAACUCCAAAUCCAACCAUACUGAAUAAACUCAG